AACGAACGCUCGCGGCGUGCUUAACACAUGCAAGUCGAACGAGAAAGGGGCUUCGGCCCUGAGUAAAGUGGCGCACGGGUGAGUAACGCGUAGGUAAUCUACCCCUGUGUUCGGGACAACAUCGGGAAACUGGUGCUAAUACCGGAUACGGUUCACGGAUUGCGAAAUAAGUGAAGGAAAGAUGGCGACCCUUCGGGGGCUAUUGCACGGGGAUGAGCCUGCGUACCAUUAGCUAGUUGGCAGGGUAAGGGCCUACCAAGGCGACGAUGGUUAGCGGGUCUGAGAGGAUGAUCCGCCACACUGGCACUGGAACACGGGCCAGACUCCUACGGGAGGCAGCAGUGAGGAAUUUUGCACAAUGGGGGAAACCCUGAUGCAGCGACGCCGCGUGAGUGACGAAGGUCUUCGGAUCGUAAAGCUCUGUCAGCAGGGAAGAAAUGUGCGAUGGCUAAUAUCCAUAGUACUUGACGGUACCUGCAAAGGAAGCACCGGCUAACUCCGUGCCAGCAGCCGCAGUAACAC
rnacentral:rRNA from 1 species